GGGCCAGUAGUUCAGUGGUAGAAUGCCUCAUUUGCAAUGAGGAGGUCCGGGGUUCGAUCCCCCGCUGGUCCACAA
rnacentral:tRNA from 3 species